UCGAGUAGGCCGGAGGCGUCGUAAGACGCUCUGCGUAUAUACGUGCCGGAUAGCGAUCGAGAAGGUAUGGAACGCGAUUAGAUCUCUGCGAUUAUUAAAAUUUAAUGUUCGAUCUCUGCAAUUUAUGACGCGCUAUCGUUCACAUCUUAUUGUUUUUUGUGAUUCGCGGAAUGAAAGUCGAGCGAAUAGGCAGCGUAUACAUCGCUCUCUACAUUACAUUCCCAAACGCGAAGUAAGAAUAAUACAUUAAUUUCCCGCGAUUUACCAUUGAUUGAUAGAUUAGAAGUAUAUCGUGCAUUGUCGUCUAUGAUAUAAAGCAAGAUCGAAUAGAGUUUUCCUAAGAUGCGAACAUAUUAUUUUUUUAUUAGUAAUGAAGGUUAAUUCUUUGCCGCGUCGAAGAGCAUGAAAUUAGCCGCGCAAUUCUCGAGCGCCGCGCGCGGGAUAGUUUCACAUCUCUUCUUUCAUUCGGUUAUAAUAAAGUGUGCGGGAGUGCCGUGGAAAGUGUCGCGUAUUCUGCUAAUUAUUGCAUAAAUUACAUGACGUAUACGCAACCGUGUUUUUCGCGAGUGUUAUGAAGAAGCAGUAAUGUAUUGUAAGAGAGGAGGAGGAGGAGGAGGCCUGGGAGGGUGUCGGGCAACGGCGGAACAACUGUGGGAUCAACAUGCAUUGUACAAUUCCGCUGCUGCGCAUCGUAUCGGAUUCCUGAUCAAUCAGCAUCUGAGCAUGAUGCAGGACGCCGAGCAGCAACCGUUCAACAAUAAUGUGUCGCUAUAUCCGGAACCGAUAUCAAGAUCGGUGGCAAGAUUAUCGGUACUGAACCAGGACUUUCUCACCACUCAAGCUUUGAUAAAGGCAGGACUUCCUCCGUUGCACAGCUUAGCCGCGGCUUCGUCCUUCUUUAAUCAGAAUCUCUUCGUCGACUCACCAAAUUGGCGAAGACAAUCGGCCGGAUCCCCGCCACCCUCCUCCGUUCAUCUAUCGCCCGUAGUAUCGCCGGCUCUCAGCACUUGUAGCAAUUCCACGUCCCAGCGCAUCAGCAUUACCGCUGCCAGCGGCAGUAUCAACGAUGAGGACGACGAUAAUAAUCAUAAUAAUAAUAACAACAACAAUGUGCCGGGCAGCAAAAAAGGUGGUAGAAAGAAGAGAAAACCGACCCAGAAUCAACUUGUAUUGAACGCAGAACCGAUCGUUGACCAACAAAGUACGUUGCAAGCCGUAGCCGAGCUCAACAUCGAACCAUCUCCAACUCCGACUGUCAAUUCGGAAACAGGAUCUCCAACCAUCAGUCCGGAGACAGGAGAGAAGAAGAAUAAGAAGCAAAGCUUUAUUUGCAAUGUGUGCAAGAGAGGUUUCGGUUAUAAGCAUGUGCUGCAGAAUCACGAGCGCACGCAUACUGGCGAGAAGCCUUUCCAGUGUCCGGUAUGCCAUAAAAGAUUUACACGGGACCAUCAUUUGAAAACACACAUGCGACUUCAUACAGGCGAGAAACCUUACUGCUGCAAAUUCUGCCAGCGGCGAUUCGUCCAGGUCGCGAAUCUCCGUCGUCACGUGCGAGUACACACGGGCGAGCGUCCGUACCUUUGCAGGCAUUGCAAUAAUCGUUUCAGCGACUCGAAUCAGCUGAAGGCUCACGUAAUGGUACACAACGGUGAGAAACCGUUCGAAUGCGAGACCUGCCAUGGACGAUUCAGAAGACGACAUCAUCUGCAUCAGCACAGAUGCAACGGCGACAAUAACGGCGACGACGAAGCGCAAGAGUUUGAAACCGAGCCGGAGGAGAAUGACGAUAUCGACAUCGACGGUGAGGAGCAGGAGGAAGCGGAGAAUAUCUCGCACGCUGCACAGGAAAUUCUCAGACAGCCGACUCGUCGUGCAUUACCCAGCCCGAUAGUCGACAUGGCCGCGCAGAUGCUUAAUCUACCUGGACCGUCGAACGCUCAACCCCCGUCGAUGGUUCUACCCGAGCAAACCGAGCCCGAGGAUCUAUCCAUGUCCAGGUCACGCAGACACUACUCCAACAGCAGCAACGAUUCGUCGCUCAGCCAUAGCCUCAGCAAAGAUAGCAGUCCCGAACAAGAGGACGAAAAGUUUGAAGCCAGCUUGUUCCUGAGACAUACUCGCGCCGCGUCAAAACGUCAGCCGCGACAACCAAGGAGUAACCCCUAACGCCGAUCAGGUGGAGUCUCAGCAUUCUAGUGGAGUUUCAGCGAUAGAGAAAGAAUAAAGAAGUACCUUGCGGAAAGAUAAGCAAAGAGAGACGAGAAAGGACACUCACCUGCUCAACGGGCAGAUCACUUCGGAAAAAGCACGGUCGAAGCGGCGAGCUUAAGCUCAU